rnacentral:rRNA from 1 species
CCCUUAGAUGUUCUGGGCCGCACGCGCGCUACACUGUUUGAUUCAGCGAGUCUUAACCUUGACCGAAAGGUUUGGGUAAUCUUCUAAAGUCAAACGUGAUGGGGAUCGAUCAUUGCAAUUAUUGAUCGUGAACGAGGAAUUCCUAGUAAAUGCAAGUCAUCAGCUUGCGUUGAUUACGUCCCUGCCCUUUGUACACACCGCCCGUCGCUACUACCGAUUGAAUGGUUUAGUGAGAUCCUUGGAUCGGCCCUGUCGCGGCUGGCAACGGCCGCGUCGGCGCGUCGAGAAGACGAUCAAACUUGAUCAUUUAGAGGAAGUAAAAGUCGUAACA